rnacentral:lncRNA from 1 species
CCAAAUACACUUGAAAUUAUUAGCCCAAAAUUCAUACUCUUCCAAUUAAAACCUAGACCUAUAUAUAGAUACGAUAAGGCUACACAACAAUCACAAGGUCAGAUUUUUCCUAGACCCCUACACAGAUAACGGCGCUCUCCAUCUUCAUAGAAUACAUGAACACCUUCCUUCAUACUCAUAGAAAACGAAAUGGAUCCACAUUUAUUGGAUCUGAGAUCUGCGAUAGCAAAAACCUUCAAACGAAAAGAAGUAAAAGUAGUAUAGAAGGGAAUCUCUGAAGUAUUGGAAGCUACGGCCAUUCUUUUUCAUUUUUCUGGGUUUCGUUUUCAACGUUGGUUUCGAUUUGGAACCCUGCUGCAUGGAAAUUAUUUGUUGAACUCCCUCAUUUGGAUUCAAGAUCUUUAUUUGGUCAAAUAUGUAUGUUCUUGCUAUUAGAUAUGUAGAUUUACGCCCAUGAUACUUUGCUUUUAAAUUGAAGAAUGAAACCUGAGUUAUUUAUGUUACAUUUAAGUUUGAUUUCAUGAAUCUAUCACGUAAAGUGUCGAAUAUGCCUAAAAAUUUCUUUCUCUAAUUAAAUUCUAGUGUUAGUAAUUUAAUGUUGAUUAAAUUUGUUUGUUGGUGAUGGAAAUUCACAUACUAACAAAAAUGAUAAGCCAUGCCUAAUGUGAUGGCGGCAAUAGUGAGCUUGUUUUAAUCUGCCAUUUUAUCCGUCUGACGGCUGUGUCGCUCAUCAAAUUUUAUAAGAGUAGGUCAUCCUAUCUCUGUAUUUGUAUAUUAUAUUUGUGCUUGUAAUUGUCCAACCAAUCAUGUUGCUGGACUCAUUGCAGAGGCCCAUAGUUUGCGCCGAAUUGCUAAAAGGUGAGCCGUAAUUAUUUUUUUGUAGUUUCAGCGUAAAUGAAUUUUGAAUAUCAGGAAUAAGUGCAAAGCAAUCAUAUAUGUAAAUCUGCACAAAUUUUCUAUUUUAAUUCAUUGCUUGAAAUCCUAUUUUUUUCGCUCAGUUCAUUGGCUUUUACUCCUUGUUAACAUUGGACUGAGGAUAUUGUUUGGUUUAGAUCUGCUUAGCUUUCUCUCUUAUGUGAAGUUUAUUUGUGAGGUUAACCGGGUAUUAGUAUCACUCACUGGACAAGGAGCAUCUUGAUAAAUAGAUCAAACUUGUGCGAAAGAGUUCAAAGAUCACUGUAAAUUGUUGGAGUAUCAUUUGCAUAACUUGGAUUGAUUUAUAAAUUUUCAUGUCAUUGAAUUGUAAAUAGAUAUACACUUGAGUGAUUUGGAAAGAUAAUGGGUGUGCUUUUCUUUUUUUGCGAAUAAUAAAAUUCUUUAGAAUAAUUUGAGGCGUGCAAUGCCGAAUAAAAAUACAAAACUCAUGUCCCUCAGACAAUUAAUUUUAACUCUUUAAAAAUUGAGGUGUGCCAUUAGUAAAUUUUUCAUGGCCCUCACAAACCUUAUCAGUACGUUGUUGCUUUAGGCGCACUAUUCUAACAUUAAUUUCUUAAAUUCGGGUGUGCAUUUCAUGUGACCCAAAUCUAAAUCUCAACAACGUUAAAUAAAAUGUGACGUGGACCGCGGGUGCAUUUCAUGUGGCGUGGUUCAAGACGUGUUUUAGAUAGUGUUGAAUCUUCCCAAAAUUAAUUAAAAGCGGAUGAUCAGUUAAAAAUAUAGGCUAAAAGAUAUAUUAAAAUCAGAUAAUGGACCAAUUAUAAUAGUUUAAGCGAUCGUGCUAAACUACAAAAUUGGGGGGUGCCUAACACCUUCCCUCGGGUUAAUAAAAUUUCUUAAUCAGAAUUUCUUGUUCGCAGACAUCAAAAGGAAAGUCGAAAUCUUCCUCGAUUUGGGAUUUAAAAUAAACUGGUAACUUAGGACACCAGAAAACAAACCAUCCCAAGUAGCGAAUCUGAAUAAAAUUGAAUAAAUAAUCUCAUUUCGAAUAAUGUCACUAAAAUUAAAAAAACUCCCUUAUACUACCAUCGGGGUGUGUAAAAAGGUGUGGCAUCUUCAAUAUUAAUGUACACUUUUCAAAGACAAUUUAGACAUGAUUCAUUGAGAAUAUUUUAAUGACUCAAAUAAAUAAAUUAUUUUGGUAGAAACUACUCAUUAAUCAUAAUUUUCAACCCAUGUAUUAAAUGAUUUCACAUAUAUAUAGUAUCAAGAACCUUUCAGUAGCUCUAAAUAAAUAGACCACUUUGAUGACAUUAUUUAUUAAUUACAAAUUCUAAGUUGUACACCUUAAUACAUGUGAUAAAAUAACACCCUUAUAAUUUAAACCUUUCAAUUUAUUUCUCACAUUAAUUUUGAAUCCAUUCUCGGACUAAAAAUAAUAUAAAUUAUUAUAAUAAAAACAAUCAUCACAAGCUUUUCCUUAGUUAAGUUAGGUAUUACACCAACAAGACAAAUUUUGAUAAGAACCUUUUGACGUCAAACCAAGUUGCAACAUUUUUAAGCCCUUUGAUCAUAAAAGUUCACUAUUUCUUUGUCAAACUAGCUUCAAAAUAAUAUCACAACGCUCAGCUUCCAAGUUCUGUGUACCUGUUGUAUUUAUUUGAUCAAAAUAAAAGAUUAAACAAGAAAACAUAAUAGCCAAAAUACCUAAAAAGUACAUAUUAAUUCUUAAAUACACCUUUAGGUUUCA